rnacentral:rRNA from 1 species
UUGAACGCUGGCGGCAUGCUUAACCCAUGCAAGUCGAACGGUAACAGGUGUAGCAAUACAUGCUGACGAGUGGCGGACGGGUGAGGAAUGCUUGGGAAUCUGCCUGUUAGUGGGGGACAACCCGGGGAAACUCGGGCUAAUACCGCAUACGCUCUACGGAGGAAAGCGGGGGACCGUAAGGCCUCGCGCUAACAGAUGAGCCCAAGUCGGAUUAGCUAGUUGGUGGGGUAAAAGCCUACCAAGGCGACGAUCCGUAGCUGGUCUGAGAGGACGAUCAGCCACACUGGGACUGAGACACGGCCCAGACUCCUACGGGAGGCAGCAGUGGGGAAUAUUGGACAAUGGGGGCAACCCUGAUCCAGCAAUGCCGCGUGUGUGAAGAAGGCCUGCGGGUUGUAAAGCACUUUUGGCAGGGAUGAAAAGCACUGGAUUAAUAACCCAGUGUGUUGACCUAACCUGCAGAAGAAGCACCGGCUAACUCUGUG